rnacentral:rRNA from 1 species
UACGUAGGGAGCUAGCGUUGUCCGGAAUCAUUGGGCGUAAAGCGCGCGUAGGCGGCCCGGUAAGUCCGCUGUGAAAGUCAAAGGCUCAACCUUUGAAUGUCAGCGGAUACUGCCGGGCUAGAGUCCGGAAGAGGCGAGUGGAACUCCUGGUGUAGCGGUGGAAUGCGCAGAUAUCAGGAAGAACACCCGUGGCGAAGGCGGCUCUCUGGAACGCAACUGACGCUGAGACGCGAAAGCGUGGGGAGCAAACAGG